UUUUUAUUUGGCAUACAUUCA
rnacentral:miRNA from 1 species